CUACGGAACUCCUACGGGAGGCAGCAGUGGGGAAUAUUGCACAAUGGGCGAAAGCCUGAUGCAGCGACGCCGCGUGAGGGAUGACGGCCUUCGGGUUGUAAACCUCUUUCAGCAGGGAAGAAGCUUUUGUGACGGUACCUGCAGAAGAAGCACCGGCUAACUACGUGCCAGCAGCCGCGGUAAUACGUAGGGUGCGAGCGUUGUCCGGAAUUAUUGGGCGUAAAGAGCUUGUAGGCGGUUUGUCGCGUCUGCUGUGAAAAUUCAGGGCUUAACCCUGGACGUGCAGUGGGUACGGGCAGACUAGAGUAUGGUAGGGGAGACUGGAAUUCCUGGUGUAGCGGUGGAAUGCGCAGAUAUCAGGAGGAACACCGAUGGCGAAGGCAGGUCUCUGGGCCAUUACUGACGCUGAGAAGCGAAAGCAUGGGGAGCGAACAGGAUUAGAAACCCGGGUAGUCCUCUUCGA
rnacentral:rRNA from 1 species